GACCCACCAAAAACCAAUCUUUUGUUUCAGCCACAAAAACCGUUUCCUUAUCAAUUGCUGCCACAGAAACUGUUUCCUUCUUCUAGCAGACAUUCAUCACCGCCUACUACUAAAAUCUUCUCUGAUUCUCCGUCGUUAGCCAUUCUUCAAUUGCUGCAAAUUUAAGCUACGAUAAUUUCUCUGGAAUAACUACAAAUUCCCUCUUUUCAUACUCCAUAUUCACUUGAAAGUUUUCACCUUUGAUUACAAUAUUGGAGCUCCAAUUCAAGAGAGAAGCAUUGGAAGGAUAUGAAGUUGAUUGCUAAUCCAUCGUUGAUAACAAAUGAGAUUAAAAGCUUUAUUACAGGAAAGUAAUGGCGGUAAAUUGAAAAGGGGAACCAUCAGGAACAUUGCAAGCCUAUUUAAAACAAGUGUUAGGACAGUUCAGAGAAUUUGGAAGCUAGCAGCAAUUACUUCUACAGAUGGAAGAGUUGAUGUAUCACGCAGAUUUUCUAAAAGAUGCGGAAGAAAACGAGUGGAUAUUGAUUUUACUUUGAUCAUGGCAAUUCCUCUCCGGCGUCGGACAAACAUCAGGUCACUUUCCAGUGAAAUGAAAGUGUCCAAAUCAACCCUUCACCGACGAAUUAAAGAAGGUGCUAUAAGGCCACACUCAAAUGCACUCAAACCACAAUUGACAGAUCAGAAUAAGCAAGUAAGGCUUAACUUUUGCUUGUCAAUGCUUGAACCAGAAAGUCUCAACAGCAAUCCAACAUUUAUGAGUAUGUUCAAUGUUGUGCAUAUUGAUGAAAAGUGGUUUUACAUGACUAAAGAAUGUGAAAAAUAUUAUCUUCAUCCUCAAGAAGAAGAACCUCUUAGGACAUGUAAGAGCAAAAAGUUCAUUGUGAAAGUUAUGUUCCUAGCUGCUGUUGCUCGACCACGUUUUGACUGCUCUGGUAACCCAACAUUUGAUGGGAAAAUUGGGAUUUUUCCUUUUGUAUUCAAAGAACCAGCAAAGAGGAGUAGUAAAAAUCGUAUGGCAGGUACAUUAGAAACUAAGCCAAUAUUGUCAGUGACCAAGGAAGUAUAUAGGAGAUGUUUAAUUGAACAGGUUUUGCCUGCAAUACAUGCUAAAUGGCCACGGGAUGGUGGUAGUGUUACUGAAAUUUUGAUCCAACAGGAUAAUGCAAAACCACAUAUUAAUCCCACUGAUCCGGUAUUUAUUGAAGCUGCUUCUAGAGAUGGAUUUGAUAUUCACUUGUCAUUUCAGCCUCCUAAUAGUCCGGACAUGAAUGUUCUUGACUUGGGAUAUUUUAGAGCUAUACAAUCCUUGCAACAUCAAGAAGCACCCUUGUCAAUUGAUGAGCUAAUUCUUGCUGUGGAAAAGUCAUUUGAUGAAUUAUCAAGUGAAAGUCUAAACAAUGUUUUCUUAACAUUGCAAUCAUGUAUGGUAGAGGUGAUGAAAAAUCUUGGGGGAAAUAACUAUAAAGUGCCACACAUUGGGAAGCACCAUUUAAUGAAAGAAAGUUGUCUUCCACUGCAAAUAGAAUGUGAAAAAGAACUUGUGAAUCAAGCUCUAAGUCAUAUGCAAGCAUGAUUAUCUUCAUUGGACAGGUACUUAAACUUUGCUAAUCAUGUGUUUUGAACAAAAUGGUAUGGGUGUUCUAAUGUGCAAAAUAUGGUUGAAGUCAAGCAAUCCAACCCUUUUGAUUUUGUGAUGCAAGCUUUUGAUUGGGCAAAGAAUAUAGAAGCACUUUUAUGUACUAGUGGUUUUUCAUUGACUGCUUUUAUUUCACUUUACAAGAUUUUAGAAUAGCUCAGUCAAGUUAGCUUGACGUUAGUAGUAGUAGUGCUGAUUUUUGUACAAAAGGGAAAAUGUGCAAUGCUGAGUGAAGCUAUGUACAUGUAUAAACAUUGAAACACUACUUUUGUUGGAGUUUUUGAAACUGUCAAUAGCAUUAUUCUAUAAAGGGGAAAUAGUGCAUAUUGGUUUGCAUUC